ACACCACUGCAACUCUCCUGCUGAGGCUGAACCUGGUCGGCCAGAUGAAUGCCAAGCUGCCCCUGGAAUGAGGGCUCUGCCUUCCAUCACGGACUGAAAAGACCUUCCAGUCCACCAGUGCCAUAGUUCUGCUCCAAAGGACCCCAUCUCCAGCCUACAAGGAGCCCCACUCCUGCUCCGGUUUGAGGUCACCAGAAGACUUGGCUGGCUCUGGGCGAAAAGAAGGAUUCUAUCACAGCUUUCCACACUGCCAUUCUUGCCAGGUGGACGUUCCCCAUUUGGGGCGGGACAAUCCUGCCAGUUCCACCCAGGAUUAAAGUGCCUUGUCCAGAUCAAGCCAGUGAUGGGACACAGCUCAAUGGGGAAGACGAGGUGACCGCUAGCGCCCAAAAGGUGGGUCUGGAUUCAGCUCUGACUGGAUUCAAAUCCCAGCUCAGCCAAGGUAGGCGGAGGAAGGAAGGAAGAGAAGAUUACAUCUCCCAGCAGCCCCCCCCCUUCUUGCAACUGCUGGUCAGUUGGCUUGGCUCCCCAAAGCACCUGCUUCCUCCCCUUCCCUCCCCUCCCCUCCUCUUCAUUCUUUCAUCCCCUUCCUCCCCUUUCCUGUACUUGCUCUCUUUCUACUUCUUUUCUCUCCUUCCUGUCUUUCUUUCUCUUCCUCUUCACCCUGUUCCCCUCUUUCUUUCCCUCCUUCCCCUCCCUCCCUCCCUCCCCGUGAAAGAAAAGGGCUCCCAAUCCAGGAGAGUGGGAGACAGAGGGAAAUGGGGGUCCCUGCCCCUCUGUUGCUGCUGCUGCUGCCAUCCUCCUCUUUGCCCUUCCUUCCUUCCUUCCUUCCUUCCUUCCUUCCUUCUAACCAUCUGCAGAGAAUGGGAGGACCAGUUGCCAACAGCGGGGAACCCAUCAAAACCAGCAGAGAGCCCCAAAAAGGCUGGGGGGGGGGACAGUUGUUGUUCUCAUUUUUAAUGUUACUAAAUGAUUGCCAGUUAUUAUAGUGAUUAGUGUUACUCUUAGCCUUUUGAUAAAGCUGUUCUUAAUGCGUUUUAUGAGACGAAUAAACCCUUCUGUUUGUGCCGUU